GACGAACGCUGGCGGCGUGCUUAACACAUGCAAGUCGAACGGGUCUGCCCUGUUUUUUGCGGGGUGGGUCAGUGGCGAACGGGUGAGUAACACGUGAGUAACCUGCCCCUCACUUCUGGAUAACCGCUUGAAAGGGUGGCUAAUACGGGGUGUUCUGGCUGUGCCGCAUGGUGUGGCUGGGAAAGAUUCACUUUUGUGGUGUUUUGGUGGGGGAUGGGCUCGCGGCCUAUCAGCUUGUUGGUGGGGUGAUGGCCUGCCAAGGCUUUGAUGGGUAGCUGGCCUGCGAGGGUGGGCGGUCAAACUGGUACUGAGAUACGGCGCGGACUCCUGCGGGGGGCAGCAGUGGGGGGUAUUGCACAAUGGGCGGAAGGCUGAUGCAGCGACGACGCGUGAGAGAUGGAGGCCUUCGGGUUGUGAACCUCUUUCGCCGGUGAAGAAGGUCCUGCUCUUUGUGGUGGGGUUGACGGUAGCCGGGUUAUGAAGCGCCGGCUAACUACGUG
rnacentral:rRNA from 1 species